rnacentral:rRNA from 1 species
CCUACGGGAGGCAGCAGUGAGGAAUAUUGGUCAAUGGUCGGGAGACUGAACCAGCCAAGCCGCGUGAGGGAUGAAGGUACAGAGUAUCGUAAACCCCUUUUGUCAGGGAACAAAGGAGGCGAUGUGUCCCCGGAUGAGUGUACCUGAAGAAAAAGCAUCGGCUAACUCCGUGCCAGCAGCCGCGGGAAUAGGGGGGAUGCGAGCGUUAUCCGGGUUUGUGGGGGUUAAGGGGGGGGAAGGGGGUCUGUCAAGUCAUCGGUAACAGCGCGGGGCCAAACCCCGGUCCGCCGUUGAAACUGGCAGUCUUGAGUUGGAGAGAGGUAUGCGGAAUGCGCGGUGUAGCGGUGAAAUGCAUAGAUAUCGCGCAGAACUCCGAUUGCGAAGGCAGCAUACCGGCUCCACACUGACGCUGAGGCACGAAAGCGUGGGUAUCGAACAGGAUUAGAUACCCGGGUAGUC